GACGUAGGGCGCGAGCGUUUGUCCGGAUUUAUUGGGCGUAAAGAGCUCGUAGGCGGCUUGUCGCGUCGACUGUGAAAUCCCGCGGCUCAACUGCGGGUCUGCAGUCGAUACGGGCAGGCUAGAGUUCGGUAGGGGAGACUGGAAUUCCUGGUGUAGCGGUGGAAUGCGCAGAUAUCAGGAGGAACACCGGUGGCGAAGGCGGGUCUCUGGGCCGAUACUGACGCUGAGGAGCGAAAGCAUGGGUAGCGAACAGG
rnacentral:rRNA from 1 species